rnacentral:lncRNA from 1 species
GAGAAUGUUUGCUAUCUUGGUGGAGCAGCCGCAGCCAAGCAAGUAACUUGUAAAAUGAGGAAUGCCAUCACCCCUCGAGUGUCCAUCCCACAUAACUUGGGGUUAGAGCACAAGCGUUCCCAGGAACUACUCACCUUACCAUCUUGGCCGUUUCAUUUGUCUUCCACCAGUUCUGGAAAGAGAAGGCCUAGAAGUUCAGAAAAAAAGGUAAGAAAGAGUUAAUAUAAAUGAGGAGAAAAAAUAGAACAGUGAGAUAAGAGUACACACAGAUAAGGAAAGACAUUUAUAGUGUGCAAUUGCACGGUGCAACAGUUCACAAAAGGAAGUCGUGGAUUCUCUCUGAUUGGAGGUUUUUUGAAAAAACAGGUUAGGGAUUGGCCUGGGUGGUUUGCGUGUCCUAGCACAAAGGCAGGGGCUGAUGACCUUGGGGUGUCAAUUAGACUAUGGCAAAUAGAAUCAAAAGGCAAGAAGACAGAAAGGGGACAGGGAUUUUUCCUCCCCACAGAGAAAGAAAGUUGUGAUACUGAAGAGUGGGUAAAAGAUUAGCAUAUGGUGUAUAAUCCUAAAAAUACUAUAUUUUACAAUGCAAAAAGAGCAAGGAGUUGGAAUAUAUAGGGAAGGAGAGAAUAAACGUCCAAGUGGUAAAUUGACAAAAAUUAUAAUCGGGCUGUUAUUUCAGCACUCUAAACUCAGUCCUUUUUUCCUCUUUAAAAGUCCUGCCACAUGGAGGAAUGAGAAGGAGCAAUCCCAAUAUUGACAGUAGCCUGGAAGUACCUGGAUAUUUUGGCUAAACUUUGUGAGAAUUCAGGCAUCAAAACAAUUUUAUCUGCACUCAAAAACUCUUAGGCACACACUUCCAUACACACAGAAUUAUUUUCUUGAUAGAAAAUGUGAACUUCUUGCAAGGAAACCAUACCAAAGCUGCAUUUUAUAACCAUCUUAUUAUUUCCACAGUCAAAGGAAUAACUGACCUGGCUCUAUAACAAUUAAAAGUAAGCCUUUGGCAGAGGCCAGUUAUAAUAAGCAGACAUCUCCUCUAGCUGUUUUUAGAGCUAUUUUUUUCAUGGAGAAAUGCCUACGAGAUAGGGAGAGUUGUGUGAGUUAGUAAAUUUCGUUGACUACCUUCCCACCCCCACUCCAAAAAUGUCUCCUAGAAAAAGAACAAUACACUGUCCCCUGCUAUAGCCACAAUAGGGAUUCGUGGAGGCUACACUAUCUACUCUGAACUAUGAUAUUCAGAGAAUGGGCUGAAGAGGGAGGCAGACUGGCUUUAAAUUCUCCUCAUUUACCUCUUACGUGUGGUCCCCUGUGGCAAGUAAUCUUACCUCUCUAAGCCUCAGUUUCCCCCAUGUGUAAGAAAAGAAAAAUAAUAGCACUUACCCUAUCGGUUUCUUCUGAUGACUGAAUGAGAUAGCAGCCUUGGAAUGAUCAUUUGAAAUAUUCAGCAAUGUGUUUGUUUUUAUCCCCCAUGAUGCCUCAUUAAACUGCUCAGAGGCCUCUCUCCUCAGCCCAGGCCUUGACAGAUAGUCACCACUGCACCACAGCAAAGCAAUCAUGGUAGAAUUGAGGACAAGCACACUGAAUUAUUUGUAGCCAACAUAUUGAUAUAGCCAAUACAGUGGAUAAAUGGGGCUUGUCAGAUAUAAUCAGAGCACAAUUUUAGUGAUUCCCCCCACUGCCCAUUGAAACCUGUUCUGUGGCCUGAUAUCUCUUUUCAACUUUCUUAAAUGGAAACUCAGGCAGUCCCCAUGACUUUUCCAGUCAUACUUAAAUUUUUGUAAAAGUUCUCCAGUUGUUAGCCAUAGACAUACAGACACAUAAUACACAUAAACUAAUUAAUAUGUUUGAUUCUAUAUCACAGUCAAUUUCUUUAAAAAUUUCUUUUAAAUUCCCAGAAUUUCUCCAGAAGAUAGCAGUCCCUCAAAAAGCAUAGCCAAAAUCUACUGAAAAGGGACAGAGGAGACCCAUCUUACAUUCUUUUUUGUUCCUGCCUAGAGCUCUUAUUCCUUAACCACUCACCCAGCCGCUCACCCCACUUUGAGCCUGGCUCUGGCUGUUCCAAGGUAGUGGAGAGAGAGAAGCAAUAAUAGCAGAAAUGGCCUUGCUACUCCAUUGAUACUGCUGCAAAUUGACUUAUAAGCUCUCCAGGUUUGGCAGGUGUGUAAAGCUGACUCUGAGAUAGUUAAUUCAAAGACACCACUAUCAAAGCAUCUCUCUAGCUGGCUGUUGAUGGCCCCUUAGUCCCUUGGAACUUGGUAGCCCCCUGUUCUGUUGAGAUCACCUCAUCUCUCCAGGCUGUUCUCUUAGGCAGCAUUUAAGCUGACCUGCAGGCUGGUUUUCUAACUUGGGCCUCUGUGUACUGCCCCACAAGUGAUCCAGUGGACAUGGUCACCAUCAUUUGCUCCAGCAACCUCAGACUUCCCAAUGCAGCAACCCACCUCCCUUAGCACUGCGGAUCCAUAUCUCAUUUUCGAAUGUGGAAGCAAUUGCCAUCAAUUGCUCAUGGUCUCUGUUGAAACUGAAUGGAAAGGUGUUUUUUGCCAUCAGGUAGCAUGGGAAACAGAGAAGUUUAAUUUAGUUUUAGAAAAAUAAGGCUAAAUUCCUUGAACAAGCGUUAGCUUGAAAAUUUGUUGCC